rnacentral:lncRNA from 1 species
AGUAGGUAGCUCCAGUUUUUUUAAAUUACUGUAUGUUUUAACUGGUAAUUGAGCUGGUAUAUGUCUAUUUCAAAGAAAAAGUGGUUUUCUAGUUUUGUACAUGAAAGUUCAUAACUGGUGAAGAAAAAUAGUUAAGUAAACUAUGAAUAGAACGAAACCUGUAUAUAUAAGUGCAAAUGUCUCUCUCUCUCUCUGUUGGUCUGUUCCUUUUGCAUGGCCACAUCUUUAAAGCUCCAGACUCAGGAUGUACAACUUUUUUGAGGCUGCAGAUUGAGGCCAAAGUGACCAAUAUAGCAAUUUAUGGCAAACAGAAUGAACAGCUGGUCUCAAAUUGAAAAGGUAAUGUGUGAUCAAGAGGGCUAUUAUUUACAUUUCUUCUCUGUGUGAGAACUUCUUCUAAUCAUUUUAUCCAUGAUCAAUUAUGUGUUAAAAUGAUUUAACAACUUCAAGGAGCCUUCAUUUGUACUCUUUCCCUCCCUCUCUUUAUUCUACACACAUAUAUACCUACUCUCUGUCUUCCCUUAACUGAAAAAAGGCUAGUGCUUUCUCUCGAACAUGCAAGAAUCAGCUAUAUGAUGAAUUUACAAAAAUGUUUGGUAUCAGCAAAUUUUCAUUUAUGUUCUGUUGCAACGAGAAGAUAAUAAACCAAUUCUUCAUUAAAUGGAAUAAUGAAAAUAAAGUCAGAAUACACUGCAAAUGAUACUUGACCACACAGCAGAAAUCAGGACACCAAAAGGUAGGGAAUUUUGUUUUGGAAACUUGAAAUAUCAUGCAAAGCACAUGGAAGAUGUAGGAGCAAUGCACCCAGUUUUGCUUUCAUUAGAAUAGCUUUAGCAGUAUUUUUUUGUUUUAUUUUUUACACAUUGUUAUUUUUUAUUGAUUUUAUUCAAAAUAUUUAGUUAAGUAAAGAUAUAUUUUUGAUUUUUUUGCAAAAAAUCAUGAUUAAUAUGCUUGAUUUAAUAAAAACAACUCAGGACAUUUAAAGCCAUUUUCAUCUGCACUUCACUCAGUGAACUCAAGGUUCUGUCUUCUUGUGGAGUUGCCACUCUAUAUGCUGCUUCCACUGCUUUUUCUUUAUUGUUGUCACCAAAAAGAUACCGCAGUUGCCGCCUCCUCCUUGGAGGUCGAACCUGUACUGUCGGAGCUGCAAUAAAGAGUGUCCUGACAGCAUUACCACCUUGCAAGAACUCCUAUGUUGCCAUCUAGUUGCAGAUGUUUAGAUUUGCCUCCAAAAUUCCCUCGACAAUUACAUGCUAGCUGAAAUGGCUACAGUUGGAGUUAUGAUGAAAGACAAUCUGUUGCUUAAAUCAUAUUAAGCUACACAUUUGUAACAUUAUUUUAACCUAUUGAUGAUAUUUUGUACUUUUAGCAGAGGAUGUCAGUAGAGCAAUGACAUUGGAUAUUGGCAUCAGAAGCCGAGAAUCGUAACUGGAACUGCCGAUGGCAAAAUGUAUUCAGGCCUAUUUACAACAUAUCUCAUUCAACUAAAUUCUGAAAUUGGUACGAUCUACUUUUGCAGUUAUGAUUCUGUACCACAAAAGUGUAGGUAGUUUGAAUUUUUCUUCAUCCUUAACACUAAUGCUAGUAGCAAUAGCAAAAUUCCCAUUAACAUCAAGGUUGUGAAAGCCAUAAAAAUACUCUUUUAAAGUUAUUAUGUUCCUAGUCUUUUCUAUUUUGUGUGUUUGAAUGACUUUGCAUGGUCUCUUAAGGGCAAACCAACCAGGUCUGCCACAUUCACUUUCUCAAAAAGGUCUCCUGCUUUACAAUUUGAACUAGUAAACCAAACCAUCAAUUUUGUUUUAAAGCCAUGUGAUAAACCAUUUUUUUUUGGCUUCCUUAUGUAUUUAACGUUACUUUUUCUUUCUCAAAGUUCUGAACUUUUAUUUGAUAACUAAACAGAUACCGAAAUGCACUCUGCUAACUGUAUGUACAUAGGUACCUAUUUUGUAGCCUUAAGUGUUUUCUAAUGCAUUACAAUACAUAGGGGAAUACCACAUGCUAUAUACAUGUACAUUGCUAAGGAAAACCACUUGCCCCAUUUAUAUUAUAGUGAUGUACUCGUUAUGCUAUACUAUAAUAUAUAUAUACACACAGCAAUGUGAUGCAAGGCAAAUUUUACUGGCAACUGUGUAAUAUGACAAUAAUUUGUUAAGUUCAGAAGCUAAGCUAGUUGUUAGGGCAGACACAGAAGCCAUUCCUGACCCCACCCCAUUUUUUUCCAUCAGAUUUGUAUUGAGCUUUGAUGAACUUUGUUGGGAAAAAACAACAGAAAAAAGUGAAUUUACUGGAAAUUCUCAUCCCUGCAAUAGUAAAUGCAAAAUAGGCCUAACAAUGGAAAACAUCACUUAGCAAAUGCCUACUUUGCACUUCCUAAGAGAUGUUUUCCAUUACUAAUCUGUCUGUAAGUUUAUCAAACAUUAAACAUAGUGGUGUACAUUUGUUUCUUUGACACAGAUCUCAAAGUCAAUACUGGAUGUAUAUCUUUAUCAAUUGAUACAAUAUACUUGUAAAAAUGAACUCUGCUUAGUAAAUCUAAUUCCUGAUUCUGUUGGAAGUGGAAACAUUUUAAACUGGGUGGGGAAUGGAAUAGUCAUACUAUAUUUGGAUUUUGCACUCAGAAAUUUGUUGUUGAACUCUUGACAUCAUAAUCUACAUGAU